rnacentral:rRNA from 1 species
GUCUACGGCCAUACCACCCUGAAUGCGCCCAAUCUCGUCUGAUCUCGGAAGCUAAGCAGGGUCGGGCCUGGUUAGUACUUGGAUGGGAGACCCUACCUUGAAAAACGAAAACAAACA